rnacentral:lncRNA from 1 species
UUUUAAAAUGUUUAUAAUUUUAUUUAUACAUUUAUAUAAUUUUUUAUUUAACUCAUAAUUUUCGUAUUUCAAUAAUAAAUAAAAUAAAAUAAUUAAAUUAAUGAAUUUAUAAAAAUAAAAUUUAAUAUCUUAUUUUUUUAUAAAUUCAUAUAAAAUUGAGAAGCACGUAUGGUAUAUAUAAUAUACAGAAUACCAAUUGUAAGAAUGGAAUGGUUUCUCAUUUGACUGCAUCGCACUCUUGCACCUGAGAGAACCAGGUUCAAGUCCUAGUCCUACUGUUACAUUUGCACGCCACACCCGCUGAAAGAAUUGGAUUAUCCGAAAAACGGGAAAAUCCCGAGAAAUUCCGAAAACAAGCUCCACACGCCGAAAAGUCCCGAAAAAUGUUCGAUUUCGAGGAUAUAUCGCCGAAUAUCGCACUACAUUUUUCUCCUUUUAUCAAUAACUACAUCACAACACACAAGAUCAUCGAACAAAUCAUUCUACCCACUCAAGAAAAAUUAACAGCUGAUUUUAAUCAGGAUAUAUAUAAACACCCACGGACGCUAACAUCGAUUUCCUUAAGGGUAGAAAAUGUGAAAGCAAAUGCUUCUCUUCAUCUUCUUCUUCAACACCAGAAAAACAAGACUCUGAAAAUUGGAUUUUUAUAAGAGACGUAGUUAUAUACAUAUAUAGAGUAGAAACUUGAACAAUAUUCCGUUCUUCCCUAAAUCAAAAGUUUUCAAAUCCAACUUUGAAAGGAAGCAUGAUCAUAGGCACAUGUACACACAUGGAGUAGAAAUUGAACACAUUAUGUUGUUAAACCUUACCUGGGAUUCUGCGGCUCCAUAGUGGGUUCCAUCUCUGUUGGAGAGUACUCGCCUCUGGUUCUUACUGCUUGGACAAUGGUGCGGCUUCAUUCUACAUAAAGCCGACUUGGUGGGAGAAACAUGCCUUCACCCUACAUAAAACUGGCUUGGUGGGUCUCCUCUACAUACCCACGACUUCGGUCUAUAUAAAGCCGGCUUUGUGGGAGAAACACGGCUUCAUU